GACGAACGCUGGCGGCGUGCUUAACACAUGCAAGUCGAACGAAGAGCGACGGAAGCUUGCUUCUAUCAAUCUUAGUGGCGAACGGGUGAGUAACGCGUAAUCAACCUGCCCUUCAGAGGGGGACAACAGUUGGAAACGACUGCUAAUACCGCAUACGAUCUAAUCUCGGCAUCGAGGAUGGAUGAAAGGUGGCCUCUACAUGUAAGCUAUCACUGAAGGAGGGGAUUGCGUCUGAUUAGCUAGUUGGAGGGGUAACGGCCCACCAAGGCGAUGAUCAGUAGCCGGUCUGAGAGGAUGAACGGCCACAUUGGGACUGAGACACGGCCCAGACUCCUACGGGAGGCAGCAGUGGGGAAGCUUCCGCAAUGGACGAAAGUCUGACGGAGCAACGCCGCGUGAGUGAUGACGGCCUUCGGGUUGUAAAGCUCUGUUAAUCGGGACGAAAGGCCUUCUUGCGAAUAGUGAGAAGGAUUGACGGUACCGGAAUAGAAAGCCACGGCUAACUACGUG
rnacentral:rRNA from 1 species